CGGGUGAUGUCGUCGGCAGUGGUGCGGCGCGUCGGCGCUGUACGCACGAUCCUGCGGCCCUGGAGAACGCCCCCGGGCGCCACCCGCAGCGAACUGCCCUGCUGAGCGCCAGGCAGAGAGAUGGCGCACCGA
rnacentral:sRNA from 1 species